rnacentral:misc_RNA from 1 species
CAGUGUUUUUAGUGACCAACUAAAAGUUAGUAAUGUAUAAGGACUCUGAACUAGGUACCAUAACAAGUUCAAAAAUGUUAUCCCGAAUCUAAUACACGUUCUCAUAUCUAUGAAAUGCAUUCUUGAUGACAAAAAUGACAGUGAAAUCAAGGUUUAAUUAAGAACCAGUAGAAAUGACCUGCUUGAUUGAAAGUUAAGAUAAAAUAGAGUCCGAAUUACUCUAGAAGUACAUCCGUUCAGAUAUAGAGAAUAUGUAUUAUAAUCUAACAAUGUCAUCAUUGUCACGAGUGUAAUGACUAAAGAUUGGAGUUUGUUUGUUUUUAUUUGGUUGACAAUGACCAAUUCAAUUAGUGGUGAUUGACAUCAACAUAUUUCCUGUAAGACGCAUCCCACUCAGGAAGUGCAUAGAUUGUUCUUAGGAAUUCGGAAUAUAUCGCACAACAAAAUUGAGGAGAAAAUACGCAGGGGUAUAGAUAUAGCUAAAAAAGACACCAAAAUAAUUAUACCUAUGUAAAGGGAAUGAAACUUAAAACUCUUCGUAGCCGUUUGAAAAGCAGUACAACACCAUAACUAAAAGCCAGAAAGUCUGACAACCAGACAAAGAGAUAUCUAGUUGUCUGAGUUACUGGAUUGAGAAGAUCAGGUAGGCAGAUGCUCCAUGUAAAACACAGGAACUCAGCUGCAUCCGAUUAGACUGGAAGCCGACCCCAAUAUAGUUGAGUAAAAGAUUAGAAGCAGAUGAUGAAGAAAUAAGCGGUGCCUUUGUACUUGAUUGUUCUAUUUUUUUCUUGUCUCAUCAACUGUCUUCAUCAACUUUUUAACUGUUAAAUAAAUGAUGACUGUACUAUAAAAA